UGGGCGUAAGCGCACGCAGGCGGUCUGUCAAGUCGGAUGUGAAAUCCCCGGGCUCAACCUGGGAACUGCAUUCGAAACUGGCAGGCUAGAGUCUUGUAGAGGGGGGUAGAAUUCCAGGUGUAGCGGUGAAAUGCGUAGAGAUCUGGAGGAAUACCGGUGGCGAAGGCGGCCCCCUGGACAAAGACUGACGCUCAGGUGCGAAAGCGUGGGGAGCAAACAGGAUUAGAUACCCUGGUAGUCCACGCCGUAAACGAUGUCGACUUGGAGGUUGUGCCCUUGAGGCGUGGCUUCCGGAGCUAACGCGUUAAGUCGACCGCCUGGGGAGUACGGCCGCAAGGUUAAAACUCAAAUGAAUUGACGGGGGCCCGCACAAGCGGUGGAGCAUGUGGUUUAAUUCGAUGCAACGCGAAGAACCUUACCUACUCUUGACAUCCAGAGAACUUAGCAGAGAUGCUUUGGUGCCUUCGGGAACUCUGAGACAGGUGCUGCAUGGCUGUCGUCAGCUCGUGUUGUGAAAUGUUGGGUUAAGUCCCGCAACGAGCGCAACCCUUAUCCUUUGUUGCCAGCGGUUAGGCCGGGAACUCAAAGGAGACUGCCAGUGAUAAACUGGAG
rnacentral:rRNA from 1 species